rnacentral:rRNA from 1 species
CGAACGGGUGAGUAAUGCGUGACCAACCUGCCCCAUGCUCCAGAAUAGCUCUUGGAAACGGGUGGUAAUGCUGGAUGCUCCAACUUGACGCAUGUCUUGUUGGGAAAGUGUUUAGUGGCAUGGGAUGGGGUCGCGUCCUAUCAGCUUGUAGGCGGGGUAAUGGCCCACCUAGGCUCGACGGGUAGCCGGCCUGAGAGGGCGGACGGCCACAUUGGGACUGAGACACGGCCCAAACUCCUACGGGAGGCAGCAGUG